rnacentral:snRNA from 9 species
AUACUUACCUGGAUGGGGUUAAUGGGUGAUCAAGAAGGCCCAUGACUUAGGCCCGCGGUCCACAUUGCACUUGGUGGGUGCGCUGGUCUACCAUCUCCCCAAGUGGGAGAAUGGACGUUGUAAUUUGUGGAAGAGGGGGUACGCGCCACGCGCGGCCUCUGC